GCUCAAAUUUGAAAUCUUCAAGGUUUUACCUUGACGAAUUGUAGUUUAAAGAAGUGUUUUCUGUUGGUGCUUUGGUAAAAGUUCUUUGGAAUAGGACAUCAUAGAGGGUGAGAAUCCCGUAUUUGACCAUUACUUCCAGCGUUGUGAUACACUUUCAAAGAGUCGGAUUGUUUGGGAAUGCAGUCCAAAAUGGGUGGUAAAUUUCAUCUAAAGCUAAAUAUUGGCGAGAGACCGAUAGCGAACAAGUACCGUGAGGGAAAGAUGAAAAGAACUUUGAAAAGAGAGUUAAACAGUACGUGAAAUUGUCAAAAGGGAAGCGUUUGACACCAGUGUUGUUUUCUCGAAAAUCAAUUAAAAAAAGUUGGAUUUUGUAUUGUUAAGACCUUAUCAGCUUACUGUACUCUUUUCUUGCUUUUUUUAAUGCACUUUUCAUUUAACAAG
rnacentral:rRNA from 1 species